ensembl:lncRNA CRYBB2P1 crystallin beta B2 pseudogene 1
GGCGUGCGUGGCGUGGAGUCCAGAAUGAGAAGAAGGAAAGCGGGGCCGGUUCCUUCAGGACCCGCCUCAGGGGGCACCGCGGCGGCUUGGGGACCACUUGGAGCCCCGUCCUGGGGAGAAAACAGCUCACGUCUAUGGCCCUGACUGCUUAGGCGGGAGCUGCGUGCAGCUCAGCUUCUCCGGGGCAUUUUUUUCUACACGCUGGGUGAGCUAUGAACAGGCCAACUGCAAGGGCGAGCAGUUUGUGUUUGAGAAGGGCGAGUACGCCCACUGGGACUGGUGGACCAGCAGCCAGAGGACAGACUCAGCAGCCUGAGGCCCAUCAAAGUGGACAGCCAAGAGCACAAGAUCAUCCUCUAUGAAAACCCCAACUUCACCGGGAAGAAGAUGGAAAUCAUAGAUGACGAUGUACCCAGCUUCCACGCCCAUGGCUACCAGGAGAAGGUGUCAUCUGUGUGGGUGCGGAGUGGCAUGUGGGUUGGCUACUAGUACCCUGGCUACCGUGGGCUGCAGUACCUGCUGGAGAAGGGAGACUACAAGGACAGCAGCGACUUUGGGGCCCGUCACCCUCAGGUGUUGGAGUGUGGAUAUGAGUCAUGGAACUCUGGGGCUAUGUUGCUGCCAGGUAAGAAUCUGUUCUAGGAAGGAUAAAAUCAAUGGACAUAGAAAGGCAGACUGGAGAAGGGAAAGGGAGCUGAGCCCUGCUGAUAGAGUAAACCUCUGGAUUAAACUAUGCCUGAAGCCCACA